UCCGAGUUGACCCCGGCAGUCUCCCAUGAGUCCCCACCAUUACGUGCUGGCAACAUGGAACGAGGGUUGCGCUCGUUGCGGGACUUAACCCAACAUCUCACGACACGAGCUGACGACAGCCAUGCACCACCUGUACACCACCAAAAGAAACCACAUCUCUGCGGCGACAUGGUGUAUGUCAAACCCAGGUAAGGUUCUGCGCGUUGUAUCGAAUUAAACCACAUGCUCCACCGCUUGUGCAGGCCCCCGUCAAUUCCUUUGAGUUUUAGCCUUGCGGCCGUACUCCCCAGGCGGGGCGCUUAAUGCGUUAGCUACGGCACGGACAACGUGGAAUGUCGCCCACACCUAGCGCCCAACGUUUACAGCGUGGACUAC
rnacentral:misc_RNA from 1 species